GUCAUGGUGGUUUAGUGGUUAGCACGUUCAUCUCACACCUCUGGGUUUGUGGGUUCAAAUCCCACCUCUGCCC